UGCCGCAAGUGUGGGAAGGCCGUCUGU
rnacentral:piRNA from 1 species